rnacentral:rRNA from 1 species
UCUUGGUCAUUUAGAGGAAGUAAAAGUCGUAACAAGGUCUCCGUUGGUGAACCAGCGGAGGGAUCAUUACCGAGUUUUCAACUCCCUAACCCUUCUGUGAACCUACCUAUCGUUGCUUCGGCGGACUCGCCCCAGCCCGGACGCGGACUGGACCAGCGGCCCGCCGGGGACCUCAAACUCUUGUAUUCCAGCAUCUUCUGAAUACGCCGCAAGGCAAAACAAAUGAAUCAAAACUUUCAACAACGGAUCUCUUGGCUCUGGCAUCGAUGAAGAACGCAGCGAAACGCGAUAAGUAAUGUGAAUUGCAGAAUCCAGUGAAUCAUCGAAUCUUUGAACGCACAUUGCGCCCGCCAGCAUUCUGGCGGGCAUGCCUGUUCGAGCGUCAUUUCAACCCUCGACCUCCCCUUGGGGGGGUCGGCGUUGGGGACCGGCAGCACACCGCCGGCCCUGAAAUGGAGUGGCGGCCCGUCCGCGGCGACCUCUGCGCAGUAAUACAGCUCGCACCGGAACCCCGACGCGGCCACGCCGUAAAACACCCAACUUCUGAACGUUGACCUCGAAUCAGGUAGGACUACCCGCUGAACUUAAGCAUAUCAAUAAGCGGAGGAA